GCCAGGCACGAUGGCUCAUGCCUGUAAUCCCAGAAUUUUGGGAGGUCGAGAUGGGAGGAUCGCUUGAGCCCAGGAGUUCGAGACCAGCCUGGGCAACAUAGCAAGACCCCAUCUCUU
rnacentral:SRP_RNA from 1 species